GGCCCUGGCUCAGAGCAGGGCCUCAGGGAGGGCAGGUGAUGGGAGUUCUGAGCUGAAUUGUCUCAUAGUGAACCAAAUGGACUCCUGAACCCACAUACUGUCCUUCCUAUAGUUAGGACCACCUACCCUGAAGAUACAAUGACACAGCCCCACAGACUGGUCACCUGCCCAAGAGGAAGCCAAAAGGUCUUGGACAGGGACCAGAGACCAUCACAAACUUGUUCAGGGAACUGACUCGAUUCUCUGAUGAGCUGCAAGUAACAGCAUCCUCGGCUCUGUUCCCAUUACCAGCAAUCCCGGAUGGAGCGGGAGCAAAUUCAGAAGCAUUUGCUGUGCCAUGCGGCAGCAUCCGCAGUCAGUGGACCUCUGGUGUAAGAGGUGUAAGAACUUCCCUUCCAGGGUUACCCCACCAGCACUGAGUUCCAUGCUGAAGCACAAAAGUCCCAUCAAGAAGCCUCGUGGUGCUGAGCAAGUCUCCGCCUGGCUAGCACGCUUCAUUGCUGGUUAAUACAGUGCGUGUUGGCUUAGCCGACCGGGAUGACAGCAUCUCAAGCAGGGGAGGAAGCAUCCAUUCAUCAUCUCCACGAGUCAAUCGUACAGCAAUAAAAAAUAAAAUGAGAAGAGCUCUCCUCAGUAGCAAGCACAAGUCAAACCAACAAUUAUGUUUUGUUAAACCAGACCCGCAAAUAAGUUUAUGUGACCCACCCCCCACCUCUGUCUGCACUCCAGCCCUAGCGGGAGGGGGAAGAGAUGGACUCUGGCAGGAUGUGCUGGUCGCUGCCAAUGGUACACUUAUCAGGGGCUCUGAGCAAUGGGCUGAGACACAGGCGCCAGAGAACUUCUCCAGGUUCUUCCCUUCAUGAAGCCCCACAGAGCCGUUCCCUCCUGCUGUCCUGGGGAAGAAGGGGGUAGACGAGCUAUCUGUAGAUCCAUUGGAUCAUUAUGAGCCUCUAAUUUUCCUCCUGAGGCAGAGGAAAUGGUCAGAUUAUAAAAGCAUAGCAAGAAGAACGCAGGGAGCAAUAUAAGCACAGUGUCAUUACUGGGGACAACUUCAUCAGCCAGUCGGAGAUGACUACAGAUCAGGUUCCCAGGCUCAGACUCAUGAGCAAGAAAGAAACUGGAAGCCUGCAUUGUAGGGGAUCUUUGUCUUGCAGCAUCGUCACAAGAAGCUAUCAGAUACACUCUUCUUUCUCCCAAGCCAGCUCUGAGCCCUGGGAGAUAAAAGCUGCAUCAGAUGGAGCCAAGAUCAUUGAGUGAAG